CUUUCUUUGCUGGCGACCGGCGCACGGGUGAGUAACACGUAUCCAACCUGCCCUUUACUCGGGGAUAGCCUUUCGAAAGAAAGAUUAAUACCCGAUAGUAUAAUGAUUCCGCAUGGUUUCAUUAUUAAAGGAUUCCGGUAAAGGAUGGGGAUGCGUUCCAUUAGGUUGUUGAUGAGGUAACGGCUCACCAAGCCUUCGAUGGAUAGGGGUUCUGAGAGGAAGGUCCCCCACAUUGGAACUGAGACACGGUCCAA
rnacentral:rRNA from 1 species